rnacentral:rRNA from 1 species
UACAGAGACCUCAAGCGUUAUCCGGAAUCAUUGGGCGUAAAGCGUACCGAUAGGUGGUUUUACAAGUCAGAAGUGAAAUCUCACAGCUUAACUCGGAAUCUGUCUUUUGAAACUGCAAAACUAGAGGGGCAAAGAGGAAGCUGGAACGAACGGUGUAGUAGUAAAAUGCGUUGAUAUCGUUCGGAACACCAAUAGCGAAGGCAGGCUUCUGGGUGCCACCUGACACUGCUAGGACGAAAGCGUGGGGAGCGAAUGGG